UAGAGCCUUGUAGUGACCACGG
rnacentral:piRNA from 1 species